rnacentral:tRNA from 1 species
UGGACCAUGGCUCAGUGGGUAAAGAAUCUGCCUGCAAUGCAGGAGACACAGGAGACGUGGGUUCGAUUCCCUGGGUCAG